AGGCUUGUAGCUCAGGUGGUUAGAGCGCCCCCUGAUAAGGGUGAGGUCGGUGGUUCAAGUCCACUCAGGCCUACCA
rnacentral:tRNA from 1 species